GAAUACCAUUGCUCAGUGGUCGAGCAUCUGCUUUGCAUGCAGAAGGUCCCAGGUUCAAUCCCCUACAUCUUCA